GACGAACGCUGGCGGCGUGGAUUAGGCAUGCAAGUCGAACGGUAGAUAUCCUUCGGGGUAUUGAGAGUGGCGAACGGGUGAGUAACACGUAGGUAAUCUACCCUCAAAUCGGGGACAACCCAGGGAAACUUGGGCUAAUACCGGAUGAGUGCAGCACCUAAAUCAUCCAUACGGAAUCUGGUUAAGAUUGGGUUUUGUAUGGUUGGGUGAUUUAGGUGCUGUAUAAAAGAUGGCUUCGGCUGUCGUUUGAGGAUGAGCCUGCGCUCUAUUAGUUAGUUGGUGAGGUAAUGGCUCACCAAGGCGAUGAUAGAUAGGCGGCCUUAACGGGUGGUCGCCCACACUGGGAUUGAGAUACGGCCCAGACUCCUACGGGAGGCAGCAGUCGAGAAUAGUCUACAAUGGACGAAAGUCUGAUAGUGCGACGCCGCGUGAACGAUGAAUCCCUUCGGGGUGUAAAGCUCUGUCCUAUGGGAAGAUAAUGACGGUACCAUAGGAGGAAGCCCC
rnacentral:rRNA from 1 species